CUGGAAGGAUACCACCGUGCUGCCCUGCAGUCACCAAAGGCAAUAAGAGAGAUGACGUGGUGGGGGAAAAGUAUCGUGAGCAGGCUGCAACACCACCCUGUGUGAAGGCUAUAAUUUUUAACACAAAAGAUGGACAACAACUUUGUGCUGAUCCAGACGCUCAGUGGGUCAAAGAUCUCACUGCCAAAAUGAGGAAGGAGUGAAGUCUGUCUGCUGCAUCAGUAUUUCCAGUAUUUCCAUCACCAUUAAAGGCUUAUUCAAACCAGAGCGCUUUCUCAGCCUGACUGUCUUAAAACUUUCUUUUUUGCAUUUGUAGAUUAAUUUUUACUCUUACCUGUGGAGUAACCCUGUAUUUUAUUCAUGCUGUUGACUUCAUUGUUUUUUAAUUCAUCAUUGGGGUUCUGGUUUUAUUUGUCUUUUUUUAUUUUUUAUGUUUUGCUUAUUUGUGAAUCUCUUUCUGUGCAUUAUGUGUUUAUGUGAAGCAAAA